rnacentral:SRP_RNA from 1 species
GCCGGGUGCAGUGGUGCGUGCCUGUAGUCCCAGCUACUGGGGAGGCUGAGGUGGGAGGAUCACUUGAGCCCAGGAAUUCUGGGCUGUAGUGCACUAUGCCAAUCGGGUGUCCGCACUAAGUUUGGCAUCAAUAUGGUGACCUCCCGGGAGCGGGGGACCACCAAGUUGCCUAAGGAGGGGUGAACUGGCCCAGGUCGGAAACAGAGCAGGUCAAAACUCCCAAGCUGAUCAGUAGUGGGAUUGAGCCUGCACUCCAGCCUGGCAACAUAGUGAGACCCUCAUCUCU